CUCUGCCGGGUCUUCUCCCGCUUCAGGGGAAAGCAAGGGACACACCGGCAAAGCCACAGUCCCUAGGAGCCCAGGCGGCGGAGACCCGGCAAGGCGCAGGCCAGGCAAACGGACCGGAAAAGAGAACCGCGCCCACCCCGCGGACUACAACUGCUGAGGCCCCGCCCCUGCCGCGCCGGAAGCUGGGCCGUGCUUGGGGGGCUCGGCCGGCGGCCGCCCUGACUCCACAGCCCGAAGACUACGAGCUCGGAGGGACCGCGAAGGGCCACGCGGCCUCGGCCCUCGCCUCCUGCGCGUCGCCCGACAGCAUUACCGUUUCCACAGUGACAGCGUUUCCUCCGGCGGCCAUUCCGCCGCCUCCUGGGCCAUGGUUUUGUCCCGGGCACCCUUCUGCACGUCACUUCCGGAGGCGAGUAGCGCAAGCGCCAUCCGCCCUCGUUGCCAUGGAGACGCUUGCGCUUUCCCGGGUCGCAUUUCCCGCCCGGGUCCUCAGACGCUCCUGGCCACUGGGUGAGCUCCUGCGUGACGCACACGCACGCUCACGGCUUCACGUUGCCCCGCGGCGCCGCGCGCGAUAUCGACUCGGACCCCGAGAGGCCGUCCGCCCCGUUUUCAGCGGAUAGCUGGGGCCAGGAGCACCUAGAGUGGCACUCCCUGAAUGCUCCUAUCCCUCGCAGGAAGCAGGAGACGAGGGUGAGGGGCUGUGCUGAUUUCUUUUUCGGCGUGAGACCCACCUUUGACACGGCCCAGGGAGCCAACAACAGAUCAGAGGCCUCCCUGCUGUGUGACUGCUGGGACUUUGGCAUUGCUAUUCAGUAUGACACAGGUCCAUGCGUACUGGAGUAAUUAGUACUAUCUUGAGUAUCACUUUAUCAGCUGGAAUAAAAACAGCCCAACACCCCAAGGUUUGAGUACUUAGGAAAUACAAUCCUGACCCACAUACCUGACCAGGUUAAAGCCGUCCUGAGGUCUGUGAUUAAUGCCUCCAAUCGGCGCAUGGCAGUCAAUGCAGGUGCUCUGUUCCAUCGGCUUGCCACACUACGGUGAAGACAGAGGGCACUCGGAACCACUUCUGGAACAGUACCAUUUUAUACACAAGUGCCAUCAUGCAAAUGAACACCUCCUUAUCACUGGCGAACGUGAGCACCCUUGGAUUGUCUGUUCCGGUGUGUGCUUGUUUCGGGUGGGUGGAGAGCCCAUGGGGACAGGGUAGGUCCUCACUAAUGUUGCACAUGGGCAAAUUGGAACUGUUUUUUUUUUUUUUAAAUAAGUGGGACAAUUUAAGCUUUAUUCCCAGAGUGAUACUUUAUAGACAAAUAUAUAAAAUUCAACCUUCCUUUCUCAUAUUCAGCACUUUUUCUAUUCCUCCAUCUAUCACACUAGCCUGUAGCACUUCAUGAUCUAAUACCAAGAAUACUAGAAUAGCUUCCAAACUGACUUCCUUAUAUCCAUUUGGACUUUUUCAUAUAUUUAUUUUUAUGAGACAGAGCCUUGCUCUGUCCUCCAGGCUGGAGUGCAGUGGCACCAUCACG